AGGCUGCGGCUCUGGCCACGGGGUUUCCUCCAAUUAGAUCCAGGGUAAAAGGACGUCACUGUUGCCAUUGCGAUGCUGGGACCGACACUCCCCGUCCUCCCCGCCGUCCCCGGCACUAGUGGGUGCGGCACGGGAGCCGGAGGCCCGCACGGCGUCGCCUGCCGCAGCCGUGGUGCAGAGGGUGCAUUGCCUCCCGUGGACCCGGGCAGCUGCGGCCUGGCCCGCGAGGGUGACACCAUCGGCGGCGGUUUCGUUGCACAAGCGCCUUUCUUUCCUCCGCCUUCCUAUGCGCGACAAAGGUAAGUACUGAGCACCACCUCACAUGGUCAUGGUCAUCUGGAAUGAGGGGUGAGGCUGCCUGGGAACAAUGGCGCCCUGUGGACUUGUUAAGGACGUUAGGAGGGACCAGCUCAGAUCUAAACUCCUCUGCACCUGGGAGAACUCAGGUUGAGAAAGUGAAGGCUCUGGAAGUGCCCGGACACAUGAAGAGCUCGCAUUUAUUGAGUGAGCACACGUGUCAGACACUCCUUUGAGUCUUUUGCAAGUACGUGUUCGCCCAUUUAAUUUGCCUGACGCCGCUAUAAAACAGCUACUGUUAUGAUCACAGACCAGGAAGUGCAGGCCCAGGGAGGGCGGGCAUCGUGUGGAGUCGCCCAGCUCAUGAGUGGCAGGGCCUGGGUGUGAACUGUGCCCCGGGAGCCUGUCCCUGCAACCGCUCUGCCAGCUCUCUGCUCAGUGUUGGGGGGGCGCUUAGAAAGCCCAGAGUAGACUCUGUCCUCUAGGAGUUCCGUCCUAGUAAACCCUGCGCGUGGUAAACACCCCCGCCAAUGCGCUGGGGAGAUCUCUAGGGAACAGACAGCGAACAGAGAACGGACAGCGAAGCUGUUUUCUUUGUUUGACGGUCUUGUUAUCUUUUCUAAACGACUGGGUGAGAAGAGGCUGUGAGCACACUGAACUCAAAGCCAAAAGAUCCCAAAUCCCCGCCCUGCUCUUGGUUUGAGGUUUGACCUUGGACACCGUGGUCCUCUCGGAGCCUGGUAAUCCCUGCCUAGAGUGUCUGUGGAGCCAUGACACAGGAGAAUGCUGGGCCCUCAGCAAAUAUUCGUUUCUUCCUUCUCUCCCUCGGCUUGGGGGUCCCGGGUGGUGUGUGUGGGGGAGCCCAACAUGCUGCAGGGGCCUUGGAGCCUUAGGAACCCUUAGUGAAGGCUUACCUCCUGAACUGUGUUGUAAUUAAUGGAG